rnacentral:rRNA from 1 species
UACAGAGGGUGCUAGCGUUGUUCGGAAUUAUUGGGCGUAAAGGGUGUGUAGGCGGUUGUUUAAGUUUGGUGUGAAAUCUCCCGGCUCAACUGGGAGGGUGCGCCGAAUACUGAAUGACUUCGAGUGCGGGAGAGGAGAGUGGAAUUCCUGGUGUAGCGGUGAAAUGCGUAGAUAUCAGGAGGAACACCGGUGGUGUAGACGGCUCUCUGGACCGUAACUGACGCUGAGACACGAAAGCGUGGGUAGCAAACAGG